rnacentral:rRNA from 1 species
GACGAACGCUGGCGGCGUGCUUAACACAUGCAAGUCGAGCGGUAAGGCCCUUUCGGGGGUACACGAGCGGCGAACGGGUGAGUAACACGUGGGUGACCUGCCCUUAGCUCUGGGAUAAGCCUGGGAAACUGGGUCUAAUACCGGAUAUGACUCCAUGACGCAUGUUGUGGGGUGGAAAGCCUUGUGCGGCUAGGGAUGGGCCCGCGGCCUAUCAGCUUGUUGGUGGGGUGAUGGCCACCAAGGCGACGACGGGUAGCCGGCCUGAGAGGGCGACCGGCCACACUGGGACUGAGACACGGCCCAGACUCCUACGGGAGGCAGCAGUGGGGAAUCUUGCGCAAUGGGCGAAAGCCUGACGCAGCGACGCCGCGUGGGGAUGACGGCCUCGGUU